rnacentral:rRNA from 1 species
UACGUAGGUGGCAAGCGUUGUCCGGAAUUAUUGGGCGUAAAGCGCGCGCAGGCGGUCCUUUAAGUCUGAUGUGAAAGCCCACGGCUCAAACGUGGAGGGUCAUUGGAAACUGGGGGACUUGAGUACAGAAGAGAAGAGUGGAAUUCCACGUGUAGCGGUGAAAUGCGUAGAGAUGUGGAGGAACACCAGUGGCGAAGGCGACUCUUUGGUCUGUAACUGACGCUGAGGCGCGAAAGCGUGGGGAGCAAACAGG